UCAUAUUCCAUGCCCAAAACGCUGAAGAUGAUAUACGAUUAUCAACCCUAACCUUCAAGGUCUGUUCAGGUCAAGACGAUGAUGGGUUCCCUGAACAUGGCUUCCGUGUUUAAUAAUAGUUACCGUUGUUGUUUUGGUGUGCCGGUAUCCCUCCUGCGCAAAUUAUCGUCAACCCAUGCGUAUUCUCGUUGGUCCAAGAGGCACCGGGGAAACAAGAAGAAGAGUGUUGGAGGUUGGUGUUAUUCAUGGAGCUCAAGCAGGAGUACACUUGCAUGUCUGUCAUCGAAACCGGAUGUUUCUCAUGCAGUGGCUGCUUCUGCUACUAAUGGCUGCCUUGAGUAUCAUCGUUUACUUCCAUGUCCACCACAAAAUAGCCCACCAAGAGUCGAGCAUUUAGUUGUCUCAGAAGGAGGGCCUGUUUUGGAAUAUAUCUGUAAAGCACUGGACCUUCCUCCUCUGUUUGUUGCAGAUUUGAUCCAUUUUGGAGCUGUAUAUUACGCUCUUGUAUGUCCACAGCCUCCUCCAACUGCAACUCCUGAACAGAUUAGGAUAUUUAAAGAAGUUACAUCUCCUGAAGUCCUGAGUACAAGGGCUUCCAUUAAAGGGAAAACAGUGCGGGAAGCUCAGAAGACGUUUCGCAUUACUCAUGUUGAUGAGUACGUGGAAGCUGGAACAUACUUGCGUGUACAUGUACACCCAAAACGCUUCCCGAGGUGCUAUGAGAUUGAUUGGAAAUCAAGAAUUAUAGCUGUGGCCAAUUGCUAUGUUGUUUUGGACAAACCUGCUGGCACAUCAGUUGGAGGAACUACAGACAACAUUGAAGAAAGUUGUGCAACAUUCACCACUCGUGCCCUGGGAUUAUCAACCCCAUUGAAGACUACCCAUCAGAUUGAUAAUUGUACAGAAGGCUGUGUUGUGCUUGCUAAAACGAAGGAGUACUGCUCAGUCUUCCAUGGAAAAAUUAGAGAGAAAAAGGUAAAGAAGCUCUAUCUUGGUCUUGCUGCUGCUCCUGUACCAAUUGGAGUUAUCACCCACUACAUGCGUCCAGUUAAUAUGGCUCCACGACUUAUCUCUGAAGAUUUUAUUAAAGGAUGGCACUUGUGUCAACUUGAGGUCAUGGAAUGCAAGGAGGUCCCUUGGCCAGAAGCUGUUUUUGAGGAGCAAUGUUCUAUUGAGGACUGCGGGUGGCCCUCCAGAGAUCUUGCAUAUGAGUGUAAAAUCAAUCUUUUGACUGGUCGUACUCAUCAGAUUCGUGCACAACUAGCAGCCUGUGGUGCUCCUAUAGUAGGUGAUUCAAUGUACAUGCCAGCAACAAUUGCAGAGAUGGCUAACCCUGGGCUCAAUCCAUAUGGGAAAUACAAGAAGAAAUAUUCAAGUGAAGGUGAAAAAGAAAUGGCUGUUACAGAGUGGAUUGCACGGCAUGGGAAGGAGCCAACUGUUGCUAUCGGACUUCAAGCAUGUCAAAUAUCAUGGGAUAAUGGUGAGCACAUUUAUGAGGCUGGAUCUCCAUGGUGGAGGUGCAAAACUGCAUAACUAGACAGGUGCAGAUUAGGUUCAACAGCAAAACCUAUGAUUUUUCUUCUUCAGAAUCUGAGGCAUGGACAUAUUGCUCGGAGAAAAGGCUGGAUUUGUGGCCAGGCAUGGUAUGUCAAGCCAAGACGUAAAUGUUAUCGAUGGAAGAUUGGAGGCUGCAUAAUGUCUUCCCUGGUUCUGUGUUUGGCAGAUGACUGGGAUGUUGGAUGACAAAAUUGAGUUACGGAUUAUGAGGAAAGCAAAGUGGCUAGCUAUUGGCUGGCAAUUUUUUUUCUGGGAGAAAAUGCAAUAUGUUGAUAGGAAAUAGAGAAUGCACUUCUGACAAACACAUCUUUUACUUCCCUGUACUUCUAUGGAUAUUAUGAUCCAUUAAUGUAUUAGUGGUUAACCUUUUCAAAUAUAUAUAUUAAGUUUAUAA